UAUAAACCAUCAAAAACAUUUUGAAGGCAAC
rnacentral:piRNA from 1 species